rnacentral:misc_RNA from 1 species
GCAGAUCCCUAAGAACCACGAGAGGAAGAAGGCGGAGAAGACCGGGAGCACCCCGUUGAA